GGAUGACGGCCUUCGGGUUGUAAACCGCUUUCGCCUGUGACGAAGCGUGAGUGACGGUAAUGGGUAAAGAAGCACCGGCUAACUACGUGCCAGCAGCCGCGGUGAUACGUAGGGUGCGAGCGUUGUCCGGAUUUAUUGGGCGUAAAGGGCUCGUAGGUGGUUGAUCGCGUCGGAAGUGUAAUCUUGGGGCUUAACCCUGAGCGUGCUUUCGAUACGGGUUGACUUGAGGAAGGUAGGGGAGAAUGGAAUUCCUGGUGGAGCGGUGGAAUGCGCAGAUAUCAGGAGGAACACCAGUGGCGAAGGCGGUUCUCUGGGCCUUUCCUGACGCUGAGGAGCGAAAGCGUGGGGAGCGAACAGGCUUAGAUACCCUGGUAGUCCACGCUGUAAACGGUGGGUACUAGGUGUGGGGUCCAUUCCACGGGUUCCGUGCCGUAGCUAACGCUUUAAGUACCCCGCCAGGGGAGUACGGCCGCAAGGCUAAAACUCAAAGGAAUUGACGGGGCCCCGCACAAGCGGCGGAGCAUGCGGAUUAAUUCGAUGCAACGCGUAGAACCUUACCUGGGUUUGACAUGGAUCGGGAGUGCUCAGAGAUGGGUGUGCCUCUUUUGGGGUCGGUUCACAGGUGGUGCAUGGCUGUCGUCAGCUCGUGUCGUGAGAUGUUGGGUUAAGUCCCGCAACGAGCGCAACCCUUGUUCACUGUUGCCAGCACGUUAUGGUGGGGACUCAGUGGAGACCGCCGGGGUCAACUCGGAGGAAGGUGGGGAUGACGUCAAGUCAUCAUGCCCCUUAUGUCCAGGGCUUCACGCAUGCUACAAUGGCUGGUACAGAGAGUGGCGAGCCUGUGAGGGUGAGCGAAUCUCGGAAAGCCGGUCUCAGUUCGGAUUGGGGUCUGCAACUCGACCUCAUGAAGUCGGAGUCGCUAGUAAUCGCAGAUCAGCAACGCUGCGGUGAAUACGUUCCCGGGGCUUGUACACACCGCCCG
rnacentral:rRNA from 1 species